rnacentral:rRNA from 1 species
UACGUAGGGUGCGAGCGUUAAUCGGAAUUACUGGGCGUAAAGGGUGCGCAGGCGGUUCCGCAUGUCGGGCGUGAAAUCCCCGGGCUUAACCUGGGAAUGGCGUCCGAAACUAUGGGACUGGAGUGUGGCAGAGGGAGGUGGAAUUCCACGUGUAGCGGUGAAAUGCGUAGAGAUGUGGAGGAACACCGAUGGCGAAGGCAGCCUCCUGGGCCAACACUGACGCUCAUGCACGAAAGCGUGGGGAGCAAACAGG